CAGCCGCCGCGGGAAUACGAAGGGUGCAAGCGUUAAUCGGAAUUACUGGGCGUAAAGCGUGCGUAGGCGGUGAGUUAAGUCUGCUGUGAAAUCCCCGGGCUCAACCUGGGAAUGGCAGUGGAUACUGGCUCGCUAGAGUGUGUCAGAGGAUGGUGGAAUUCCCGGUGUAGCGGUGAAAUGCGUAGAGAUCGGGAGGAACAUCAGUGACGAAGGCGGCCAUCUGGGACAACACUGACGCUGAGGCACGAAAGCGUGGGGAGCAAACAGGAUUAGAUACCCGCGUAGUCCCUGUCUCUUAUAC
rnacentral:rRNA from 1 species